AACGAACGCUGGCGGCAUGCCUAACACAUGCCAGUCGAACGAGACCUUCGGGUCUAGUGGCGCACGGGUGCGUAACGCGUGGGAACCUGCCCUUAGGUUCGGAAUAACUCCCCGAAAGGGAUGCUAAUACAGGAUAAUGUCUUCGGACCAAAGAUUUAUCGCCUUUGGAUGGGCCCGCGUUGGAUUAGCUGGUUGGUAGGGUAAAAGCAUACCAAGGCGACGUUCCAUAGCUGGUCUGAGAGGAUGCUCAGCCACACUGGGGCUGAGACACGGACCAGACUCCUACGGGAGGCAGCAGUGUGGAAUAUUGUACAAUGGGCGAAAGCCUGAUCCAGCAAUGCCGCGUGAGUGAUGAAGGCCUUAGGGUUGUAAAGCUCUUUUACACGGGAUGAUAAUGACAGUACCGGGAGAAUAAGCUCCGGCUAACUCCGUG
rnacentral:rRNA from 1 species